UUAGGAUGCACGCCACUCUUGCUGCUGCUCAGACCUCUACUCCUUGCAGUCCUUGUGUGGCUGAGCUUGAGCUGUGGCACAUGCCCUAUAGUGAGCUGCAGCCUGUCAGUUGCCCCAUCACCAGCACCAAGGAGUUCAAGGCCUCUACAAAUCUUGGCUUCAGUUGGGUAGAUGGAGUUGAAAGUGAAGUUUCAUCUGGUAUAACAUCUUGAAUCAUCUGGGACACAGAACUUUAUGCUGGGGAGAAGAGGAAGAAGGAGGAAGAAGGGAGAGGGAGAGAACUGCAACCAUUUCGAAUGGACUAGAACUUCAUCUUGUUAAAUCUUCAGCCAAGACUUUCCGUGUCGUGUGACCACAAACAUAAACAGAAUGUUGUACAGUAAGCAAGGGUGUGGGGCAGUUACACUGGUUUUUUGGAUUAUGUUUGGAUGGACUCAUUAUUAAAGUCUUCAGCGUUAUCUAUUUAGGACAGACAUUCCAUUAAUUUUUUUAAAAAGUACUUGCACAACUUGUUCAGUGAAAUCCCGAAAUAGUGAACAUUUCUAGUAAGUCAAGCUAAAGCCACCCCCCAUAUUUGUAGUAAAGUAAGGAGUUCCAUUUGAGACUAUAUUCUGGCUUCAAAGGAAGAUACCUCUAUCUAAUGAAUUGAUCUCAUAGAUGAAAGUUAUCAGGGAUUUAAGGAAUAGGUGACUAUACGCCAAACAGGUUAAAAUAAAAGAUUUGGUUGAUUAUUAGAUGCUAAUUUUAAAAAAUACCCAUGUGUGCACUGUUAACCACUGAAGCUAAUCGGCCUAUUCAAAUGCUUAUUCUUAAAUGUGCACAUAUCUUUGCAGAAUGGAGCCCAUGAUUAGGAGCAGGCUUCAGAAGGAAGAAAAGUAACAUUUACAUUCUUAAUUCAAAUUCAUGAAAAGAACAGAUUGAAUAUAAUAUAAACUGAAAAUAGCUAAUGGUAUACUUUAACUUGGUAUCCCCCCUCUCCCAAUAAAGUUUAGGACUCUUCUGGUAUGUGAGAAAUUUCCUUUGUACAACUAAAAUAUUAUCCAUGCUAAGUAAGGUGGCAAUUUUUGCAAGUCUUUUUUUUAAACAAUUGUUUUUUUAAAUUUUUAAAGAUUCUAUUCAUUGGAUAGAGAGGGGAAAGGCAAAAUACAUUUUAGAUGAAGUAAACAGUACCAAAACUGUCAUCUUUCAGUUUCUUAGGGGAUAACACUGGUGGUU